AUGGGGCUCUGGAGGCGACUGGCCUUCUCGUUGUUGCUGCUGCUGUUGCUGUGGGGCCUGGGGCAGUCGCCAUGGGUGGCGGCAGGAGCCCUGGCCCUGCGCUGGCUCCUGGGCGACCCCGCCUGCGGUGCACUGCUGAGCCUGGCGGUGCUGGCAGGGCCCUGGCUGGGCCCCUGGACACCGCACUGGCUGAGCCUGGCGGCUGCGGCCCUGCUACUAACCCUGCUACCCGCACGGCCGCCGCCCGGGCUCCUCUGGCUGCCGGCCGACCUGGCCUACACCUUCCUGAUGCUCCGCCUGGGCCUCCGCACCUGGGCACGCUUGCGGCGCCGGCCGCCGGACACCUUCGUGGACGCCUUUGAGCGGCGCGCACGGGCGCAGCCGGACCGCACCAUCCUGGUGUGCACCGGCCCGGGGGGCCGCGCGGUCACUUUCCGGGAGCUGGACGCCAGUGCCUGCCAGGCGGCCUGGGCCCUGAAGGCCGAGCUGGCCGGCACCGCGGGCCUGUGCGCCCGGGAGCCCGCCGCCCUGCUGGUGCUGCCCUCGCGGGCGCUGCCCGCCCUGGGCCUGUGGCUGGGGCUGGCCAAGCUGGGCUGCCCGGUGGUCUGGAUCAACCCCCACGGCCGCGGGCCACCCCUGGCGCACGCGGUGCUGAGCUCCGGGGCCCGCGUGCUGGUGGUGGACCCAGAGCUCCGGGCAAACCUGGAGGAGGUCCUGCCCAAGCUGCAGGCGGAGAAGGUGCACUGCCUCUACCUGGGCCAAAGCUCCCCCACGCCCGGGGUGGGGGCCCUGGGUGCCGCCCUGGCCGCAGCCCCCUCAGACCCCGUGCCCGCUGACCUGCGGGCGGACAUCAAGUUGCGAAGCCCAGCCCUGUUCAUCUAUACCUCGGGGACCACUGGGCUCCCCAAGCCUGCCAUCCUCACCUACGAGCGGGUGCUGCAGGUAUCAGGGAUGCUGACUUUGUGUGGGGUCACAACUGAUGACGUGGUCUACACGGUCCUGCCUUUGUACCACACCAUGGGGCUUGUCCUUGGAGUCCUCAGUUGCCUGGACCUUGGGGUGACCUGUGUCCUGGCCCCCAAGUUCUCUGCCUCUGGCUUCUGGGACGACUGUCGGCAGCACGGUGUGACUGUGAUCCAGUACGUGGGCGAGAUCCUGCGGUACCUGUGCAACACACCCCAGCGGCCAGAGGACUGGACACACAAAGUCCGCCUGGCGAUUGGCAGUGGACUCCGGGCAGAAGUGUGGGAGACCUUCCAGCGGCGCUUUGGCCCCAUUCGGAUCUGGGAAAUGUACGGCUCCACCGAGGGCAACGUCGGCUUCAUCAACUACCCAGGGCGCUGUGGGGCCCAGGGCAAGACCAGCUGCUUCCUCCGAAUGCUGUCCCCCUUUGAGCUGGUGCAGUACAGCCUGGAGACAGAGGAGCCUCUGAGGGACAGUCAGGGCCUCUGCAUCCCUGCGAGGCCAGGGGAGGCAGGCCUGCUGCUGACCCAGGUGUUGCGUCACCAACCCUUCCUGGGCUACCGCGGGCCCCGGGAGCUGUCAGAAAAGAAGCUGGUGAAGAACGUGCGGCGCCCGAACGACCUUUACUACAACACCGGGGACGUGCUGGCCAUGGACCACGAAGGCUUCCUCUACUUCCACGACCGCCUUGGGGACACCUUCCGGUGGAAGGGUGAGAAUGUGUCCACGCGGGAGGUGGAGGGCGUGCUGUCAGUCGUGGACUUCCUGCAGGAGGUGAACGUGUACGGUGUGCCUGUCCCAGGGUGUGAGGGCAAGGUGGGCAUGGCCGCCGUGCAGCUGGUGCCCGGCCAGGCCUUCGACGGGCAGAGGCUGUACCAGCACGUGCGCACUUCGCUCCCGGCCUACGCCGCUCCCCAUUUCAUUCGUAUCCAGGACGCCUUGGAGAUCACAGGCACGUUCAAACUGGUGAAGUCCCGGUUGGUGCGCGAGGGCUUCAACGUGAGCGUCGUCGCUGAUCCUCUGUUCGUCCUGGACAGCCAGGCCCGAGCCUUCCGGCCCUUGACUCCAGAUAUAUACCGGGCAGUGUGUGAGGGAGCCUGGAGACUCUGACCUCCCAGCAGCUCACAGGACAUCCGAAGGCACGCCACCCAACGCUGGCCCCCGCCUCCACUUGUCCCCUCACCCACUCCCCAGACCCAACGAGCCUGGCCUUAUCCCCAGCUUCACAGGCUGGGGUGACCCUGGCCCGCACCAGAGCGAGAAUAAACCCGGAUGUGUAC
rnacentral:lncRNA from 1 species